rnacentral:rRNA from 1 species
GUAGGUGGCAAGCGUUGUCCGGAAUUAUUGGGCGUAAAGCGCGCGCAGGCGGUUCUUUAAGUCUGAUGUGAAAGCCCACGGCUCAACCGUGGAGGGUCAUUGGAAACUGGAGAACUUGAGUACAGAAGAGGAAAGCGGAAUUCCACGUGUAGCGGUGAAAUGCGUAGAGAUGUGGAGGAACACCAGUGGCGAAGGCGGCUUUCUGGUCUGUAACUGACGCUGAGGCGCGAAAGCGUGGGGAGCAAACAGGGAUUAGAUACCCUGGUAGUCCACGCCGUAAACGAUGAGUGCUAAGUGUUGGGGGGGUUUCCCGCCCCUUAGUGCUGCAGCUAACGCAUUAAGCACUCCGCCUGGGGAGUACGCCGCAAGGCUG